rnacentral:lncRNA from 1 species
ACCAAGAUUUGGUGUUAGGGCCCCUGCCCAGCAGAUGGUGCCAGAGUGAGAGCACAGUUCCUGCCCCACCCAACCAUGUCCCCUCCACAGCUCCAUGGCUGCAUCGACAGGCUCAGAUUCAGAGUGGAAAGUGAUUGGUGGAGGCCCAAUACGUUCAGAUAUUUUCCUUUGGGUACAUGGUUCAGUGGACACCGUGGCCCAGUGUGCCUCAACUCAGAGAAGGACUAAGUUUCUUUCACCCCAUCUCGGGUUCAAUCUCUGGACAAUCAUGUGGCCCAAUGUCUAGAGAGUUUGUCAGGCUCCCUGGGGCCUGAGUGCCCAUUGCUUGUUUGAAGUACAACACUGGACCCAGAAAUCCCAGAAAUUCCAAAACAUGAAGUGUUUUGGAAUCAGGAUGCUGUGAAAUUUGGUUUCUAGAAACUGAGGCCUUUUGUUAUGAAUGCAGCAUAUCAAUGCAUUUGUAUACUAGGGGCAGGUCUUAGCCUGUCCCUAUGCCCUUUCACUCUAGGGAUCUCUACAUCCUCCUCUUUCCCACUCCACCUGAGCCACCUACACCUCUUUGGGGGACCCUUGUGCCAAGAAACCUACCUUAAUCCAGAUCAAGUGAAUGAAGCCUGGGAUUCUGGAUCUCAAGGGUUCCCCCAAAGCCUCUGUCUUCCUUCUGUAGCUGAGCUGCUUCAGCCUCUGUGGGACACCCAUUUGAAGGAACCUGUCUAAAUCCAUGUAAGGUGAGUCAUGGCUGGGGAGGAAGGCUGCUGAUAAAAGGCUUACUGUCCUAACUUAAAUAGGAGGGUUGCUUCUUUCAGGGAGUUGGAUAAAGUUGCGUUUGGUGACUAGCCUGGCUGACUGUGAGAUUGUCACUCCAUCAUAUGUAGUGCAUCUGAGGGGGUCUAGAGGGAUGCGGGCAUGAAAAUCACAUUAGCAAGAGCCCCAGGGCA